UUGAAGUUUGUGAUGAUUAUAUACCGCCCCAGUCUGAUGGAGGUGAUUGAUUGGUUUUCUGAAAUCUG